UCCCCAGUGGUCCAGUGGCUAAGACUCUGCACUCCCAAUGCAGAGGGCCUGGAUUCGAUCUCUGGUCAGGGAA
rfam:Ovis aries breed Texel chromosome 12, whole genome shotgun sequence.